UACGGAGGGUGCAAGCGUUAUCCGGAUUCACUGGGUUUAAAGGGUGCGUAGGUGGGUUUGUAAGUCAGUGGUGAAAUCUCCAAGCUUAACUUGGAAACUGCCGUUGAUACUAUAAAUCUUGAAUGUUGUGGAGGUGAGCGGAAUAUGUCAUGUAGCGGUGAAAUGCGUAGAGAUGCGGAGGAACACCGAUGGCGAAGGCAGCCCCCUGGGCCAAUACUGACGCUCAGGCACGAAAGCGUGGGGAGCAAACAGG
rnacentral:rRNA from 1 species